GAGAGGAAGGAAAGCUUGCUUUUCUGAAUCUAGUGGCGAACGGGUGAGUAACACGUAGGUAACCUGCCCAUGUGCCCGGGAUAACUUCUGGAAACGGAUGCUAAAACCGGAUAGGUAGCAGACAAGCAUUUGACUGCUAUUAAAGUGGCCUUGGCCAUGAACAUGGAUGGACCUGCGGUGCAUUAGCUGGUUGGUGAGGUAACGGCCCACCAAGGCGACGAUGCAUAGCCGGCCUGAGAGGGCGGACGGCCACAUUGGGACUGAGACACGGCCCAAACUCCUACGGGAGGCAGCAGUAGGGAAUUUUCGUCAAUGGGGGGAACCCUGAACGAGCAAUGCCGCGUGAGUGAGGAAGGUCUUCGGAUCGUAAAGCUCUGUUGUAAGAGAAAAACGGCACUCAUAGGGAAUGAUGAGUGAGUGAUGGUAUCUUACCAGAAAGUCACGGCUAACUACGUGCCAGCAGCCGCGGUAAUACGUAGGUGGCGAGCGUUAUCCGGAAUGAUUGGGCGUAAAGGGUGCGUAGGUGGCAGAUCAAGUCUGGAGUAAAAGGUAUGGCUUCAACCCG
rnacentral:rRNA from 1 species